rnacentral:rRNA from 1 species
GAUGAACGCUGGCGGCGUGCCUAAUACAUGCAAGUCGAGCGAACGGACGAGAAGCUUGCUUCUCUGAUGUUAGCGGCGGACGAGUGAGUAACACGUGGAUAACCUACCUAUAAGACUGGGAUAACUUCGGGAAACCGGAGCUAAUACCGGAUAAUAUUUUGAACCGCAUGGUUCAAAAGUGAAAGACGGUCUUUCUGUCACUUAUAGAUGGAUCCGCGCUGCAUUAGCUAGUUGGUAAGGUAACGGCUUACCAAGGCAACGAUGCAUAGCCGACCUGAGAGGGUGAUCGGCCACACUGGAACUGAGACACGGUCCAGACUCCUACGGGAGGCAGCAGUAGGGAAUCUUCCGCAAUGGGCGAAAGCCUGACGGAGCAACGCCGCGUGAGUGAUGAAGGUCUUCGGAUCGUAAAACUCUGUUAUUAGGGAAGAACAUAUGUGUAAGUAACUGUGCACAUCUUGACGGUACCUAAUCAGAAAGCCACGGCUAACUACGUG